rnacentral:rRNA from 1 species
CCGCCAGACUCCUACGGGAGGCAGCAGUGGGGAAUAUUGCACAAUGGGGGAAACCCUGAUGCAGCGACGCCGCGUGAGUGAAGAAGUAUUUCGGUAUGUAAAGCUCUAUCAGCAGGGAAGAAAAUGACGGUACCUGAUUAAGAAGCCCCGGCUAACUACGUGCCAGCAGCCGCGGUAAUACGUAGGGGGCAAGCGUUAUCCGGAAUUACUGGGUGUAAAGGGAGCGUAGACGGUAAUGCAAGUCUGGAGUGAAAGGCGGGGGCCCACCCCCCGGACUGCUCUGGAAACUGUGUAACUGGAGUGCAGGAGAGGCAGGCGGAAUUCCUAGUGUAGCGGUGAAAUGCGUAGAUAUUAGGAGGAACACCAGUGGCGAAGGCGGCUUACUGGACUGUAACUGACGUUGAGGCUCGAAAGCGUGGGGAGCAAACAGGAUUAGAUACCCCAGUA